rnacentral:lncRNA from 1 species
GCUGUGAAUGUGUUGGACUCGCUGCUUGUGCCUGAGCAGGACAAGGACCAUGGAGCCACUGGCCCACACCAUGAUGCUCAAAAACACAAAGUCAAAAUAAAAAUAUGUGACAGCAUUUAGUGAGUCUCUAAGUUUAUCUUGUGGUAGUUUAGAACAGUAGACAAAUAUAUUUUUUAAAGUAAGGUUUUUGCUGUUCACUGGCCCAGUCAUUUUCAUUGGGGUGUAGGUAUUUAACAGGAGAUGCAAGAUCCAGCAGAGGAAACAGCAGAAGCCAAUGCAUUUUGGAGAUGUUCUGAGCCCCAUCACCCCAGAGAUUUUAGGAUGAAGCUUACUGGCCUGGUAGCCACUCAACAGGCAGGUGAUGCUGAGGGCAACUCCUCUGCUCACCCUGUGGACAUAGAAGACAACUUUACAUCCAGGGUCAUCUAGGAAAGAUUUCCAUCCAAAAGCUGCCAUGGUCUGAGGGAUCCCUUUGGAGAAAAGCA